rnacentral:rRNA from 1 species
GUUGCACCCAUCCUAGGAUCCCAUCAGAACUCCGCAGUUAAGUGUGCUUGGGCGAGAGUAGUCCUAGGAUGGGUGACCCCCUGAGAAGUCGGGGCGU